rnacentral:lncRNA from 1 species
AAAAAAUCAUCGGCUUUCGUACUUCCGGAUUAUUUGUCGGAGAGGGGUUAGGGUGCAACUACAAAGAUGGGACAAUCCUCAAUCACAUUUGAGCGCUUUCGCAGUUUCGAACUUAAUUGUUAGAAAAUUAGUUUUCGAAUGCCGAAACACAUCCUUUCAAAUUGUGUUUCGACGUCUAGGUGUUCUUUUACCUUCAUAAAAGAGUUAG